CGAACGGUGGCGUAAUUGACAACGCACCUGGAUUUAAAAUCCAGGAGAUUGCGAGUUCAAAUCCCGCCCGUUCGA
rnacentral:tRNA from 1 species